rnacentral:rRNA from 1 species
AUUGAACGCUGGCGGCAUGCUUUACACAUGCAAGUCGAACGGUAACAGGCCUUCGGGUGCUGACGCGUGGCGGACGGGUGAGUAAUGCAUCGGAACGUGCCCAGAGGUGGGGGAUAACGCAGCCAAAGCUGAGCUAAUACCGCAUGUGAUCUGAGGGUGAAAGCGGGGGAACAAGCAGCAAUGUUUGGGCUCGCGCCUCUGGACCGGCCGUUGUCGGAUUAGGUAGGUGGUGGGGUAAAGGCCUACCAAGCCGACGAUCCGUUGCUGGUCUGUGUGGACGACCAGGCACACUGAGACUGAGACACGGCCCAGACUCCUACAGGAGGCAGCAGUGGGGAAGGUUGGACGAUGGGCGCAAGCCUGAUCCAGCAAUGCCGCGUGGGGGAAGAAGGCCUGCGGGUUGGAAACCGCUUUUGUACUGAACGAAAAGGCUCUGGCUAAUACCUGGGGCUGAUGACGGUACCGAAAGAAUAAGCACCGGCUAACUACGUG